rnacentral:misc_RNA from 1 species
AAGCUGCCCAUCUGGAGCCUGUGGUUUGCAUGUGUUUGUUGGAGAACAAAGAUUAAAUGUUAUUUUGGCAAGGGACAUAAAUUUGUUAAAAAAUUAACAACAAUAUUCCAUAACAAUAUUCCAUUGUUUACUUACUUCAAAAUCAUCAGCAGAAUUAAUCAGUGGAACUACUUAAGAAUGGAUAAUUUCAGAAAAGAUAGAGUACUAUGCGCACAUGUAUUUAUCGUUGCAGUUUUUAUUGUAUUUUCAAUUAUCAAUAAUUAUUUGGACUUUAUACUUUAACUAAUGCACACAGGUUGUUCAGUUCAAACUGAUGUACCCUUUCUCUUGAAACAAGGCAUGAUAACAUACCACAAUUUGUGUGCUGUACUGCACAGAAACAGACUGAUGGAAUUGUUCAAUGUAAAAAGUGCUUCAUUUUCAUUUGUAUAUUUUAAUAAAAUUAUCAAAUUCAUGUACAUGUAGAAAUCUUCAGUCCCCUCUCCUUACUCCUGUUUGAGCCUACAAUCUUCCCAUAAUGGGAAUCAAAGGUUUGGCCGAUUAUGAUGUAUACGUUUAGUGUACAAGAUUUGUUGUUGCUUACAGUCUAAUUACCGGUAUAUAGUUUUGACUUUCCUUUGUCAACAUAAAAAUUUGUUGUCUUCAAAGAAUCUGUGCAAGAAUUGUUAAAAAAUGGUGAAUUUAAUUGAUUCUUUAAAAUCAUUAUUAUCAGGUGCAGGUUUUGUGAUAAUAUUAAUUUCUUUAAGCCCUCAAAGAGAAACCAUGUAAUAGAACGGUUGCUUGUAACUUACCUGUAAUAUCUGGUUAACUCUUGUGUUAAGCUGGUAUUGUUGUCUUGCUUAUGGACUGUACAUGUAUUAACCGAACAGAAUAAAUGUGAUAGGG